CUGGCUUUUCUUUACACCUUUCCUGUCCAGGAUGGGAUCUGUGAGACCGGCAAGUUCUUGUGAACACACCUGUGGCUUUGUCCUUGGCAGCUCAUGAACUUUUGGCUUUGGGCCAAGGUCAUUUCCAUCAGCCUGUGCUCACCAUUCCAUCCUUUGGCCUAUUAUUUCCAAAUUUUCAUUUCUCUUAUGGGAUCACCAUUUGCAGUCAUUAGAAGAUUGAGGAUUUUCCUCCUAUCCACUGCAUAGAAAAGGUAAUACCUGGGGUUUCUCCCUGUUUUAAUGUUUAUCACCACCGACACCAGAGCUGCAGAGCAAGAAACCCCAGUGAGUGCUCACUGAUCAGGAUUAGGUGGCACCUUAAAGUGGCUGGCAGAGACAAAGCUCAGACCAAACAAUCUGCUCAACAAUUCACCCUGCACACAAAUGCUGCCCUUGCAGGAUGAACUUCUAAUGAACUGCAAAUUACAAGCAAGGCUACCAGCAGCUUAUCACUUACUUCAAGUGCUGAGGAUAAAGAAAGGUUGCAAGGAGUUGCUAAAAAACACAGGAAGAGGCAGGAAAAGUGUUCCAUUAAAACAAAUUAAGGGCAAGGAGAGAUUGGUGGU